rnacentral:rRNA from 1 species
UACGGAGGGGGCUAGCGUUGUUCGGAAUUACUGGGCGUAAAGCGCACGUAGGCGGCUUUGUAAGUUAGAGGUGAAAGCCCGGGGCUCAACUCCGGAAUUGCCUUUAAGACUGCAUCGCUAGAAUUGUGGAGAGGUAAGUGGAAUUCCGAGUGUAGAGGUGAAAUGCGCAGAUAUCAGGAGGAACACCGGUGGCGAAGGCGGGUCUCUGGGCCGAUACUGACGCUGAGGAGCGAAAGCGUGGGGAGCAAACAGG